UGGGCUGAGGCCUCCGGAGGAUGCUAGAAGGGAGGCGUGCGUGUAAAGCGCCAUCCCUCAGCAGCCCACGAUCUCGGACGGUUUGCCACUGUGGCCAGUGUUUUAUUGAUGCUUCUGAGGCCAUAGAGCACGCACGGGGAAGUUCUGAGCACACGGAGGACAAGCCAGGGCGGUGCUGUGUGGCCGCAGUCAACCCUAGUAGGGGUCCGAGUGGGGGACGGUCGCUAACACCUCGAUUCCUCAUGUCUGUGUUUCUGCAGCUUGGAGCUUGGAGAGUGUGUGUGAGAGCGACCUCGCUGACAGCAACCUCGCAGAAAGUGAUCGAGACUCGGUGGCGGAGCGCACCGACUGCCGCCAGGAUGAGGAGGCUGCAGGAACUCACGCCGACGAUGUUGUGGAGGCCGGUGGGAGUGAGAAGACUGAGGCAAAGCCCCGGGCUGGGGGACAUGAGGACGAGGCGGCCCCAGUACCUGAGGUGGAGGUGGAGGAGGAGGCGGGCCAGCCCCGUGAAAAUGGCCAGGAGGAGUCCUUAGCCAUCGCCUGGGCUGAGCCGGAAGACGAGCCUGGCCCCAAGGUAAGCUCACCUUUCUUGAUGUGAGGUUGGAAAAGGUGCCUCCUUUCUUCUUGGAUGUACCUCCUUCAGAAAUGGAAAUCUGAGAAAGUCCACUGUAGAUGAUAUAUGCAGAUUGCUGUGCGGAGGACUGUUGAGUCCAAGUUUGGUACCAAGCAGUAGCUCCUUCCCAGGGGCAUUUGCAAAAGGGACCGCAUCAGUUCCCAAGUGUGCAGUAGGGAGCAUAUGUCUUUGAAGAAGCCGGAAUGUUGUUUUGUCUUGUUUGUCUUUUUUUGCCUUUUCUAGGGCCCCUCCCGCGGCAUAUGGAGAUGAGGUUCCCAGGCUAGGGGUCUGAUCGGAGCUGUAGCCACCGGCCUACGCCAGAGCCACAGCAACGUGGGAUCCGAGCCUCGUCUGCCACCUACACCACAGCUCAGGGCAGCGCCGGAUACUUCACCCACUGAGCAAGGCCAGGGAUCGAACCCGCAACCUCAUGGUUCUUGGUCCGAUUCGUUAACCACUGUGCCCCGAUGGGAAGGCCAAAGAAGCCUGAAUGUUUGUUAAAUGUACGAGGACUUGGGAGAUCUUCCAUGAAAAGCUGGCGCCUUUUCCAAAGGGGUCUUCGCCGUGUUCUUUUGGGGAAACGGACUCAACGCUGCCUUCUGUCUGCGUGCCUGCGGUCCCCAACGGCAGGAAGACCUGUGGCCGCAGUGCAGAGGAUGCUGUGACACUCACCGUGUUUUCUCUUGUCUCAUCACAGGUGGACGGGGCGGACGAUGAAAUCUGUGAGUAUUCUGGAGCCCGGCUCUGCUGAGGAGAAGUCCAGGUGUUGAGGAAAUGGGGGGGGGGCCGCGAGGGAGGCGGGGUGGGGGGGCUCUCCUGCUCCUUUGGUUGCAGAGACACCCUGAUUCUGGGUUCCUCCUGGGAAUGAGGGUGAAGGAUGGGGUGAAAGAGACGGACUUCCCAAGAAGGGCCACCCCAGGUUCUAGGGUCCCUGGACGAAAGGAGGCUCUUUGUAUGGCGUGGGUAGGUGUCGGGGGACACUGCGGGGGGUGGGAGGGUGGUGCGUGUGAGGGCCUGCUGGUGUGAUUGGCAAUCAGUGUGAGUGGGUGUGUGCUGUGGGGAGCCGUUUGUGGCUUAGCACCACACAGCUGUCCAGCUUCUAAUUGAGGAGUCUCACGAUGACCGCAGGCUAACCGUCCAUUCCCUCGUUCUGCCCGCACCGGCUGGGAGCAAGGGUUUGGGGGAAAGGCAUUGCUUCCUCUGUUGGUCUUUCUUUUCCUUUUCGCUUCCCUCUCUGCCUUGUGUGGACUUUGAUACCGUUGUUUCAAACACGUGCCAGGGACUCGAGCCCCUUCAGGCUGUGAGUGUCCCGAGGAGUGUUGUGAACGCUGUGCUCCACCCGCACCUCCUGCCCACUCUGGGCAGCCACCCUUCCAGCCUCUGCUCAGGAGUGGUGUGUCAGACACUUGAUGCGCAUGACAUCAGAGAGUCUUUGUCCUUCUGUGCCUGACUUGCUUCGCUUGAAAUGCUGUCCUCCAGCGAGUUCCUGUCGAGGCUCAGUGGUCAUGAACCCGACUGGUAUCUCUGAGGACGCGGGUUCGACCCUUGGCCUUGCUCAGUGGGGGAAGAAUCCAGCGUUGCGGUGAGCUGCCUGCGGCAGAGGUCCCAGACGCGGCUGGUAUCCAGCUUUGCUGCAGCUGGGGUGUAGGCCGGUGGCUACAGCUCUGAUUUGCCGCCUCCCUGGGAAUUUCCGUAUGCCGCGGGGGCCGCCCUCAAACCCCGAGACGAAUCGAUCAGUAAUGUCCUCCAGUUCUCUGUGCACUGCUGCAGUGGGUAGGGUUUCUGUGGGCUGUAUCCAUCCCGUUGUCUUUCUCAGUCUGUGUGCCCGUGGGCACUGGGGCUCUGUUUCUGUUGGGCUCUCGUGUGUGUGGCGCUGCCGGGAUCCUGGGAUGGCGGGUCUCUUUACCCGACACCGAUGGUUCUUCCUUUAGAUGUCCACGCAGCAGUGGGACUGCGGGGUCCCGUGCUAGGUCCGUGGGCAGCUUUCCUGAGGACCUGCCAUAGUGUUUCCCGUCCUGGCUGGGCCAGCUGACCUUCCCUCCCACAGCGUACAGAAGUCCCAGGUAGUCACAUCUUCCCAGACGACCUGUUCACGCUUGAAAACACUCCACGUCCUACGAGGAGGGAGGUGAUAGCUCGUUGUGCCUUUGCUUUGCCUUGCCGUUGUGGUGGGUGACUUUGGGAAACGUUCCGUGUGUGUGCUGCUGUCUGUUGUCUUCUUGGACGGAGGCGGUCUCCCAGGCUUCCGCUCACCUACACCUGAGUUAUUUGCCUUUUGGGUCAAUUGAUUUGGCGUUGUUUCCCACAGAUUCUGGACAUGAGCCCCUGUUCCAAAUGUAAGGUUUGCAGAUAGCGUCUUCUGCGGGUUGUCUUUCCAUUCAGUGGCUCGUCAGACACUGUCCUUUCUGUUUGUCUCUGUGUUCAUUGAGGUGCCGUGUUGUUUCAUUUUCUGCCGUGUAGCAACAUUCCCCAGGCGUGUGUGUGCAUAAACACAGGUUCCUUUUGGACUGUUAUCGUCCGUCCCGGUCGAUUUCAGGAGAUGGGAUCCAGUUCCCCGUGCGCUGCAGCAGGAGGACCUCGUCGUCGCUCCAUUCUCAAUGCCUAGUUGGCAUCGACUCCCCCCAAACGCCCAGUCCGUGCCCUUCACGAAAGCCACAAGUCUGUUCUCUGUGUCCGUGGGUUUUGUGGACAGGGUCCUUUGUGCCAUGGUUUAGACUCCACAUCUAAGUGAGAUCUCUCUCUUUGUCACGUACUUCGCUUUGUAUGAGAAUGUCUCGAUCCAGCCCUAUGGUUUUGAAUGGCAUUGGUUUCUUCUUGGAUUUUCUGGCUGAGUCGUGAAUUCCCUCGUGUAUGUGGACCACAUGGUCGUGAUCCAUCCCUGUGCCUGUGGACAUGAGGUGGCGUCCCUGUCCUGGCUGUUGUGAGUGGUGCCGCCAUACACACACAGGGGCAUGUGUCUCUUUCCUGGAUACGUGUGUCGUGGUAUCUUCCAGGGCGCUCGCUCGGCUUGCUGGGUCGCAUGCUGUGCUGCGUUCCGUUUUGGGAGGCCCCUCCGUGGUGCCUUCGGUAGUGGUUGUACCGGUGUACGUUCGCACCGGCAGUGCUGGGGGGAGGCCUUUGCUCCAGCCGUGUCUGCGACCGACACCAGAGCUGGCGGCAACGCUGGAUCCUUAACCCCCUCGGCGAGGCCAGGGAUCAGCCCCGCAAGCUCGUGGUUCCGGUCGGAUUUGUUUCUGCUGCGCCCCGACGCCCCGACGGGAACUCCUGGCUUGUUUCUUUGCUGUUGCUGUUGAGGUGUAUGAGUUUUCUUUAUGUGUGCUUUGGAGAGGAACCUCACGGGCAGGGGUACCCGUCUCCUCAGUGUUUCUGUAGAGCUGCUGUCCACAGCGUGGCAGCCGCUGUCCAGAGGGAGCCAUUUAUGCUUCAUUGAAUUCAGCCAGUAGUUAGGUCUGCCUCUGGCAGUGAACAGAAGAAAGCAGCCAAGGGUUCACUCCCCCGAGCCAGCACGCAAGGGUGUCCGUGCAGCUGGACUUUCAGGUGUGUCACGCUGGGGCUGAGGCCUCCGGAGGGACUCCUAGAAGGGAGGCGUGCGUGUAAAGCGCCAUCCCUCAGCAGCCCACGACCUCGGACGGUUUGCCACUGUGGCCAGUGUUUUAUUGAUGCUUCUGAGGCCAUAGAGCACGCACGGGGAAGUUCUGAGCACACGGAGGACAAGCCAGGGCGGUGCUGUGUGGCCGCAGUCAACCCUAAGUAGGGGUCCGAGUGGGGGACGGUCGCUAACACCUCGAUUCCUCAUGUCUGUGUUUCUGCAGCUUGGAGCUUGGAGAGUGUGUGUGAGAGCGACCUCGCUGACAGCAACCUCGCAGAAAGUGAUCGAGGUAAGAACAGCUCUCAGGUAGGAGCCAGUGGGAGAGGGUUCCCGGGACACUUGGGUUAGGCCUGCUGCUUGGAGGGUGGGGCGGGUGAGUGUGCAAUUGCAAAAGAGAAAGAAAUUGGUGUAAAGAUGUUCGUCGCCUAUGUUCCUAAGGAGGGGGAGCAGGUAUGAGAUGCCCGAAUGUUGGCAUCUGUGCUCACGUUGUGUUGGCGGGCCUCAGUCCCUGGAGCAGAGGGAAGGCCUGGGCACCUGGAGGAAAAACCCGGGUGAUGCUGUGUGACCCGCCGUCACCUCGGGGAAGCCGGGGAAACGGGAGGGCCACUCCUUCUCACGCCUCGCUUCCCCGCGGUGUGUUUCUACAGACUCGGUGGCGGAGCGCACCGACUGCCGCCAGGAUGAGGAGGCUGCAGGUAGGGAAGAGCACGCAGCUGG
rnacentral:lncRNA from 9 species